CACCUAAAAAGUAAAUAACUUCACUUUCAAAGUGUCUGGCGUUUAAAAGUUCUGCUUGAGGGUUAAGACGGAUUAAUUCUCACAAGUAUACAAUAAAAAGGGAAGCUUUCUCCUGCUGCAGAGAAGAAUAUUCACUUCACUCUCCAGCUCAAAAUAAAAAAAGGAAGUACAUUUUUUGAUUUUGCAGUACACUGUCCACUGUGUUUGAACUCCUCUGAGAUAAACCUACACACCAAUGCUGAUGUGCGGCAGUAAGAAAAGGGUGCUAAAAUUCUAUCACUUCCUCUUGUGUCAACAUUUACGUAUGCGUCAAUGUGUGUGUGAGCGAGUGAGCAUUGUACAGAAAGGGGUCGAGACCAAUGAAGCAUCGCGUUGCCCUUUAAGUCACUAACACUUUGAUGUGAUUGGGGGAGGCCGAGGUCAGUAAACUCGUUUCCCGAAACAUGACCACCCCAGCCUUCACCGCUGAGCUGUCCGGAAGGCAGAUGUUUACUCAACAAAAUGCCGAAUGCAACGGUCUGAUCUGUACGUCACAGCAAGUGUUUCUACUGGCAUGUUAAGCACAAAUGCAUAAAGGUUAAAGGAAAUCAUUUAUUGGUCAUGGGGUGCCCUAGAGUUGUUUAAUGUAGUCUGUCAAAGGGAAUAAUUCAUGUGACUUCAGGUAUUUGUAGGAUCUGAGGUCACGGACAUUAAAAGAUGCGGCCGUUUACAACGCACACAGGAAUGCUGGGGAGUUGCUUUAUGGAAAGUGGAGCAUCGUGCAUUUUUGAAGGCUGAUCCACCAUAAUGAGUCCUGUGUUUGACCAAACAUCUGCCAUCACCAGCUAUUUGAGGGCACUGAGAUAUGUAACACAAUGCGACCCGACCGUUCACACCUGAUCAUCAUUCCCUUCACCCGGUUCUCACGCCCGUCCCACCUGCAGCCCAUCCCUUCGUUAGUGUCCCCUCACUUCCACUUGUCCUCUGCCAGGUUGUCUUGUGUGUCAUUGCCGAGCUCUCCUGUGUAUUCUCAUAUUGAUUCUGAUCUGCCUGUUCUGACCCUGUUUGCCUGUUUACCUGAAUAAAGAUUUUUUUCCUGGCCCCCUUUGUUGCCCUAUUGAACUGACCACCCGGUUUUGACCCUGCCUGAAAAGACAAGUAAAGAUCCUCUUCUUCUUCCA